GGCAAGAUGGCCGAGCGGUCUAAGGCGCUGCUUUCAAGAAUCAAUUCUUCCCCGAAGUGGGAGCACAGCAGUAUCGAAAGAUGCAUGGGUUCAAAUCCCAUUCUUGUCA